CCUCUGUAGCUCAGUUGGUAAAACUCAAGUCUCUUAACUUUGUGGUUGUGGGUUCAAGCCCCACUGUGAGCA
rnacentral:tRNA from 7 species